rnacentral:rRNA from 1 species
UACGUAGGGUGCGAGCGUUAAUCGGAAUUACUGGGCGUAAAGCGUGCGCAGGCGGUUCGUUGUGUCGGCGGUGAAAGCCCCGGGCUUAACCUGGGAAUGGCCGUUGAAACUGGCGAACUGGAGUGUGGCAGAGGGGGGUGGAAUUCCGCGUGUAGCAGUGAAAUGCAUAGAGAUGCGGAGGAACACCGAUGGCGAAGGCAGCCCCCUGGGCUAACACUGACGCUCAGGCACGAAAGCGUGGGGAGCGAACAGG